UAUCCCACCAAAGGAAUGGAAACCAAGAAAACAUUAUGAUGAUAUUGAAGAUCUGGUGAUUCCUGCUCCAAUUCAACAGAUGGUCACUGGCCAGUCUGGACUUUUCACACAGUACAAUAUUCAGAAAAAGCCCAUGACAGUGAAGGAGUUCAAGCAGCUAGCCAACAGUGACAAAUACCGCACUCCAAGAUAUGUAGACUAUGAAGAUCUGGAGCGUAAAUACUGGAAGAACUUGACUUUUGUGGCACCAAUUUAUGGAGCAGAUAUCAAUGGGAGCAUUUAUGAUGAAGGUAUUGAGGAAUGGAAUAUUGCCCAUCUUAAUACAAUAUUGGAUGUUGUAGGAGAAGAGUGUGGAAUUUCUAUCGAGGGUGUAAAUACACCAUAUCUUUAUUUUGGCAUGUGGAAAACAACAUUUGCGUGGCACACUGAAGACAUGGAUCUCUACAGUAUUAAUUAUCUCCAUUUUGGGGAGCCAAAGUCAUGGUAUGCUAUUCCUCCAGAGCAUGGGAAACGGCUUGAAAGACUAGCUCAAGGGUUCUUUCCUAGCAGCUCUCAAGGAUGUGAUGCUUUUCUUCGCCACAAGAUGACCCUGAUUUCUCCGUCAAUAUUGAAAAAGUACGGAAUUCCUUUUGACAAGGUUACUCAAGAGGCGGGAGAAUUUAUGAUCACUUUCCCAUAUGGAUACCAUGCAGGGUUUAACCAUGGAUUUAAUUGUGCUGAGUCAACAAACUUUGCCACCAUUCGAUGGAUUGAUUAUGGAAAAGCAGCAAAAUUGUGCACUUGUAGGAGAGACAUGGUGUCAAUAUCCAUGGAUGUCUUUGUGAGGAAGUUUCAACCAGACAGAUACCAGCUGUGGAAACAGGGCAAGGAUUUAUAUACCAUUGAUCACACAAAACCAACUCCUGAAUCAACACCUGAAGUAAAGAUCUGGCUACAAAGAAGAAGGAAAGUACAGAACUUUCCGAAGAGCUUCCAGCACACCAGAUCUCGAUCUAAAAAGCUUAAAACUCCAGAGGACAAGAGAGUAUCUGCUAUGGUAGCUGAUGCAGAAAUCAUAACGACUGAAGCAGCUAUUGAUGGCUUCAAGGUCAGUGAAGAACCAGAAAAAAAAGUGAGAGUGGUAAACACAGGAGUGCCUUCUGGGGAAGAGGAAAACAGUACUAGAAUACAUCUGGAUCAGCAUUUGUUGGAUCAUGUCAAGGUUGCAGGAAGCAUCCCUUCAGACUCAAUUUUGAGCCCUGUUCCUGUACUAGAGAAAACAAAAAUGGAAGAUGAGGACAGGAUAGAUUCCAGUCAUUCUUCUUUUACACUUGAAGAUUCUGUGGCCAGCAAGCCUGCUUCUGAUAGCAGUAGAAAAGAAGAAAGUUUGAAAUCUCAGAAUGAAUAUGUUUCAUCCAUACCAUACCAUAAAGCAGAGGGACAAACUUCUGAAGCAGAAAAUCCAGCUAGAGAGGGAAGUGUCUCGACAGAGGAUGGUAUCAGCAACCUAGAAAGUUCUGGAAGUAGUUUGGAACAUGGAAAAGUGCCCAUUGUAAAAAAGGAUGAAGAAGACAGCAUGGAAAUAUCUUGUUCAGAGGAAGUUGAAAGAAAGAAGAUAUCUAAGAGCUGGCGUCAUCCACUACAUAAACCCCCAGCUAGAUCACCAAUGACUUUGGUUAAACAGCAAGUAACUAGUGAUGAAGAACUGCCUGAGACUACCUUAGUUGAAGAGAAAGUUCAAGAGUCAGAGGCAUGGGCCAGACCUCUUGUCUACCUGUGGCAGACAAGACCACCCAAUUUUAAUGCUGAAAAAGAGUACAAUGCAGCUUGUGCAAGAAAGGAACCGCACUGUGCCAUUUGCACUCUUCUUAUGCCGUACUAUAAGCCAGAAAAUCAAGAUGAAGAAAGUCCUACUUUCAGUGAAGCAAACUCAGCAGAAACACUGAUGGCAGAAAAGGAGAAGACAAAACCUCUUAUUCCAGAGAUGUGUUUUAUUUACAGUGAAGAAAAUACCGAAAACUAUCCAUCAAAUGCCUUUGUUGAAGAAGAUGGAACAAGUCUUCUGAUUUCAUGUGCAAACUGUUGCGUACGGGUUCAUGCAAGUUGCUAUGGUGUUCCUUUUCAUGAAAUCCAUAACGAGUGGUUGUGUUCUCGAUGCAGAAAAAAAGCCUGGACAGCUGAAUGUUGUCUCUGCAAUUUGAGAGGUGGUGCAUUAAAGCAAACUACUGACAAAAAGUGGGCACAUGUAAUAUGUGCAAUUGCCAUCCCAGAAGUCAGAUUUGGUAAUGUCACAGAGCGUACUCCGAUAGACACUAGCAGAAUACCUUUGCAAAGAUUAAAAUUGAAAUGUAUCUUCUGUAGGCAGAGAGUUAAGAAAAUCUCUGGUGCCUGCAUUCAGUGUUCAUAUGGACGCUGCCCAGCAUCCUUCCAUGUUACCUGUGCCCAUGCUGCAGGAGUGCUGAUGGAACCUGACGACUGGCCAUAUGUUGUCUACAUCACAUGUUUCAGGCACAAGAUCAACCAAAAUGUGAGAGCUAAAGUAUGUGGGAAAGCCAUUACAGUUGGGCAGACAGUCAUCACGAAACAUAGAAAUACACGAUACUAUAGUUGCAGAGUCAUAGGAGUGACAUCUCAGCUUUUCUAUGAAGUCAUGUUUGAUGAUGGCUCCUUCAGUCUGGAUACUUUUCCUGAAGACAUUGUACUCACAAAGAUAGCAGGAGCUUUUUGCUCUUCCAGAAUGUGCAGAAUCCACUACAUAAUUUCAGCUCAGCUCACAAUAGACCAGAAUUCCAAUGUUCAGACACAGUGGUUUAUUUUUAAGGAGGAAAAUAAGGAGCAGGAGCAGAGAUUGCCUAAGGCUGGGUCCACCUGCAGAGGGAGAAGUUGUCCAAGUGAAAUGGCCUGAUGGAAAACUGUACAGUGCAAAGUAUCUGGGAACAAAUACAGCUCACAUGUAUCAGGUGGAGUUUGAAGAUGGUUCUCAAAUAGUAAUGAAGAGAGAAGAAAUAUAUACACUGGAUGAAGAGCUUCCUAAGAGAGUAAAAGCACGUUUAUCUACAGCUUCUGACAUGAGAUUUGAAGACACAUUUUAUGGAGCAGAUAUUAUCUUGGGAGAGAAGAAAAGGCAGAGAGUAUUGAGUUCUCGCUUUAAGAAUGAAUAUGUGGAUGAUCCAGGAUACCGCACCUUCUUAAAAAGCUCAUUCCAGAAGAAGUGCCAGAAAGGACCAUAAAGGAAGCAAGAGAAGAGAGGGUUCUUGAUUAAAAAGCAUGCAGCAUUAUUCACAAUUGGAUUUCAUUUAACUGAAACUUUUACAGUGAACUAAUCCAUACACCAGCCUUGUCAUCUGAAGUACUUGAGUUCUGAUUUCAUCAGUUAAUGUAUUUAAGAAUUUGUAAUGUUUUGUGUCAUAAAACCAGGAGAGAUUUCUAAAGGAUAUGUUGAAGGAAAGUUUCAGUCCUGCUCUCAUUGAAAUAAAUGGUAAAAUUCCCUCUGAA